rfam:Cajanus cajan chromosome 2, whole genome shotgun sequence.
AGGUGCAAUCAUACCAGCACUAAUGCUCCGGAUCCCAUCAAAACUCCGCAGUUAAGCGUGCUUGGGCGAGAGUACUACUAGGAUGGGUGACCUCCUGUGAAGUCCUCGUGUUGCACCUC